rnacentral:rRNA from 1 species
AUUGAACGCUGGCGGCAGGCUUAACACAUGCAAGUCGAGCGGGGGAAGGUAGCUUGCUACCGGACCUAGCGGCGGACGGGUGAGUAAUGCUUAGGAAUCUGCCUAUUAGUGGGGGACAACAUCUCGAAAGGGAUGCUAAUACCGCAUACGUCCUACGGGAGAAAGCAGGGGAUCUUCGGACCUUGCGCUAAUAGAUGAGCCUAAGUCGGAUUAGCUAGUUGGUGGGGUAAAGGCCUACCAAGGCGACGAUCUGUAGCGGGUCUGAGAGGAUGGUCCGCCACACUGGGACUGAGACACGGCCCAGACUCCUACGGGAGGCAGCAGUGGGGAAUAUUGGACAAUGGGGGAAACCCUGAUCCAGCCAUGCCGCGUGUGUGAAGAAGGCCUUAUGGUUGUAAAGCACUUUAAGCGAGGAGGAGGCUACUCUAGUUAAUACCUAGGGAUAGUGGACGUUACUCGCAGAAUAAGCACCGGCUAACUCUGUGCCAGCCGCCGCUGUAA